AAGGGAAGACCACUGUUCAAACCUUUAAACAGGAACAGCACAAACAAUAUGAUGCUCAUCAAAACCAGGAUGAGAGCCAGGAACAAAUAGCCGUUUGCC